rnacentral:misc_RNA from 1 species
UGCCCGGCCUGCUCCGGCGCGGGGACUUCCCGGAUCGAGAUCGGGCGGUCGCCGUGCUGGCGGCGGGCGACUUCGCCGCGAUCGGCCAGGGCCAGCGCAUCACGAUCUGUGGCGAGGACAUCCGGGGUGAGCUCCGGGCCACGUCCGGUCGCUUCUCCCAGUUCCGCGACGACCCGUAUUCGGUCGUCCACACGGUCACCGCGCUCCCGGAGCCCGAGGCGGCCGACCUGAUCGAGCGGUUCCGCGCCGUGGCCGGCGCGUGCGAGGAGUCCUGGCGUCAACCCGACCCGAACGGCGGUCAGAAUCACCCGCCGCGUCCAGGGCGGCUUUCCGCUCGAGGACGUCGGAGUCGAGGCGGUGGCCUUCGUGAUCCGGGGCGAGAACCAGAUCGGCAGCGACGACGCCGUCGUCAUGCUGGCGAGGAACGGCCCGUUCGUGGCCAGUCUCACGGUGACGGGUCCGGUGGGCGACCGGUUCCAGAUCGUGCGGCCGCUGUCCCACGCCGUGGGCCGACGGCUGCUGCGGCUGCAGGUGGGCGAAGGCGAGUCGGGCUAGAGGGCGUCAGGCGGCGUCAGCGGUGCCGUAGGGCUCGCCGGCCUUGCCGUAACACUCCGCGUGGUAGUGCUCGACGCGGUUCCAGACACCCUUCACGUAGACGUUGCAGAUCACCUGUUGCAGGCGGAUCUUGGCUUGAAACUUGACCCGCUCGUCGCACGCGGCGCAGGUGACCGAACUGCCCGCCUCGAUGUUGCGCACCACCGCUCGGCUCCGCCACCGCUUCGUCUUCGCCGCCGGCCGGGUUUUGGCCUUGGGCGUGGCGGACCGGGGCGUCGACGCCGCCUUGGUGCGAGGCUUCGUGGCCGUCUUGGUUGCCAUGACCCCUCCUGUCGGCAGGAGACGGUUGGCGAUGAGGCUACGAACCCUCGCGCGCACAGUGGCGGAUACCCCUCACAUCCCCCGUUCUGGGCCCUGGAUUUCGACCGUUUUUCGCCUGAUGGCGUGGCCCAGAACGGAGGGUUCGCGCGGUCAGUGGUCGCGGCCGAAGUCGAUGGCCUGUUGGACCACGGCGCGGACCUCGGAUUCGUCGGCGCCAGCGUCCACCAGGGCCUGGAUCUGGGCUUCGAGUUCCUCCCCGGGCUCGACGGCCGGCCGCCUUCGGUGCGUUCGUCACCGCGGUGACGAGAAUGAGGCACAGCCCGGCCACGGCGGUGAUCAGCCCGAACGUGAUGGCGGUGCCGUUGUUGUCGGCGAUCGAUCCGAUGAUCAUCCCCGCGAUCCCGCCCACGAACACCAGCAGCACGAUGCGCCGGACCCAUGUGACGGGCACGUUCAGCUCCGGACGAGCGGCUUGUACUUGAUGCGGUGGGGUUGUUCGGCCUCGGCGCCGAGCUCCUUCUUGCGGAAGGCCUCGUACUCGG